CUACCCCUGUUAAUCCCUCGGCUCGCCUGCUGUUGUGGCGACUGAGUUUCAGAUGGGGUGCACAGCGCCGCCGGCAACGGCGUGGAGAGAUUCGCUGACAACGCUAGCGCCCCCGUGGCGCCAUGAGUGUUAUCUGAUAGUAGCUCUCCAGCAUUCAAUGGACAUUG
rnacentral:snoRNA from 1 species